AUUGAACGCUGGCGGCAGGCUUAACACAUGCAAGUCGAGCGGGGGAAGGUAGCUUGCUACCGGACCUAGCGGCGGACGGGUGAGUAAUGCUUAGGAAUCUGCCUAUUAGUGGGGGACAACAUCUCGAAAGGGAUGCUAAUACCGCAUACGUCCUACGGGAGAAAGCAGGGGAUCUUCGGACCUUGCGCUAAUAGAUGAGCCUAAGUCGCGAUAGCUAGUUGGUGGGGUAAAGGCCUACCAAGGCGACGAUCUGUAGCGGGUCUGAGAGGAUGAUACGCCACAGUGGGACUGCGACACGGCCUAGACUCCUACGGGAGGCAGCAGUGGGGAAUAUUGGACAAUGGGGGAAACCCUGACCCAGCCAUGCCGCGUGUGUGAAGACGGCCUUAUGGUUGUAAAGCACUGUAGGCAGGGAGGAGGCUACUUUAGUUAAUUCGUGGGAAUGGUGGACGUUACUCGCAGAAAAAGCCCCGGCUAACUCUGUGCCAGCAGCCGCGGUAA
rnacentral:rRNA from 1 species